AUCGCUUCUCAGCCCUUUGGCUGAGAUCAAGUGUAGUAUCUGUUAUCAGUUUCAUAUCCGAUACGUCCUCUAGAGAGAAACAGCAUGGCCUAGU
rnacentral:snRNA from 1 species